GUGUAGUUAACACCUGCAUUAUUUGACGUUACCUACAGAAGAAGCACCGGCUAACUCCGUGCCAGCAGCCGCGGUAAUACGGAGGGUGCGAGCGUUAAUCGGAAUUACUGGGCGUAAAGCGCAUGCAGGCGGCUUGUUAAGUCAGAUGUGAAAGCCCGGGCGUUAACCUCGGAAUUGCAUUUGAAACUAGGCAGGCUAGAGUCUUGUAGGAGGGGGUAGGAAUUUCAGGUGUAGCGGUGAAAUGCGUAGAGAUCUGAAGGAAUACCAGUGGCGAAGGCCGGCCCCCGUCGGAACAAAGACUGACGCUCAGAUGACGAAAGCGGUGGGGAGCAAACAGGAUUAGAUACCCUGGUAG
rnacentral:rRNA from 1 species